AAUGAAACAAAAGAAAAACGCAAAAAAAGAGAGAAAGAAAACGAAAACAUAUGGCCCCUUAAAGACGAACCCUUUUUUUUCAUUAUUUAGUUUUGUUUCUUUGGAUUUUGCCUGUCCUGUCUUUAUGUUUAUUUAUUUCUUUGUCUUUAUGUGUAUGUAUUUCUUUGCCUUUGUAUGACUUUAUUUAUUUAUGUUUGUUUGCCUUUCUACCCUUGCCCAAGGAAGAGCUCAGCCUCCUCCUCCUCCUCCUCGGCUAACACCCCAGAAAACCAUUUUUUAAAAAACAAAAUUUAAAAUUAAAACCAAAAAAAAAAAAAUCUGACCCAGCGCGGCCCGCAGGGGCAGGGGGAUGGGGGGACCCUCGUCCGAGCCAGCCCCCGUAGGGCACGCGAGCCAGCCAGCCAGCCAGCGAGCGGACGAACAAAACGGGGCGGGCGGGCGCAGGAAGAGCGAAGGAAGGAAGCGGGCGGGCUUGACGGGAGGAACGGCUCAGGCUUCUCUCCUUCCUCGCCGGCCGCGCCCAGGCCCAAGCCGCCGCUGUUGUUGUUGCUUUUUUUUUUUAACCUACCCCCCUUUUUUUCCCGGGGAGUUUUUUUUCCGUUCCCCCCUCCUCUCAAAACCAGAGAGAGAGAGAGAGGAAGGGAUUUAUAUAGAUUGAAAAAACAUAUAUAUUUUUUUCCGCCCGCCCGCCUGCCUGUCUGUCCAUCUGGGUCUGUCUUUCUGCCGCCUCAGGGGGUCGCCUUUAUUUGUGUGGUUGCUGCAGCCGCCGCCCUCCUUUUUGGUUUCUUCCCCCCCUCCCCCCCAGUGUGUGGCGGUUAGGGCUCGUGAGGGAAAGCGGCUGCCACGCGCCGCGCGGGACGGACGGGCUGAGGGAAGGCAAGGCAAGGCAAGGCGGGCGGGCCUGAGGCGGUGUCGGAAGGGGGCUCGCGCGGCCCGAAAGAAGGGGAAAGGAAAAAAAAAACACGUCGCCUUCCUCCCCCGACGAGGAAAAAAAAAAGGCGAAGCAAGGACGCCUCAGCGACGACGCCUCGGAGGGAGAAAAGCAGAGCUUGGCGGGGUUGGGGGUGUUCCUCGCCUGCCUGCCUGCCCCCCACGGGCCUGCAAAAGAAGAGUGGAGGGAGAGAGGCCGAAAAAGAAGGGCCGAGAAGAGGGGGUGGUGGCUGGUUUCUUUCUUCUUCUUUUUUUUUUUGGAGGGGGGCCUUUGCCGGCGUCGGCGGUGAAUGAGCAGCGGCCGUCGAGGAAGAAAUGGGGAAAGUGGCUAUUUACAACUCACUGUAGAUGGACAACAGUCUAA
ensembl:lncRNA